GUAGCAGUAGCACGGUGGUAGAGCUCCCGCAUCGUACGCGGGAAGACCUGGGUUCGAUUCCCGGCUGCUUUC
rnacentral:tRNA from 1 species